rnacentral:rRNA from 1 species
CAACUUUCAGCAGUGGAUGUCUAGGCUCGCACAUCGAUGAAGAACGCUGCGAACUGCGAUACGUAAUGCGAAUUGCAGGAUUCAGUGAGUCAUCGAAAUUUUGAACGCAUAUUGCACUUCCGGGUUAGUCCUGGGAGUAUGCCUGUAUCAGUGUCCGUACAUCAAACUUGGCUUUCUUCCUUCCGUGUAGUCGGUGGAGGAUGUGCCAGACGUGAAGUGUCUUGCGGGUGUCCUUCGGGUCGUCUGCGAGUCCUUUGAAAUGUACUGAACUGUACUUCUCUUUGCUCGAAAAGCGUGGUGUUGCUGGUUGUGGAGGCUGCCUGCGUGGCCAGUCGGCGACCGGUUUGUCUGCUGCGGCGUUUAAUGGAGGAGUGUUCGAUU